ensembl:lncRNA PAXBP1-AS1 PAXBP1 antisense RNA 1
AGAGUGCUUAGGUGUAUACGAUGGAGAGUGGGACGUCACAAACCAGGAUCUCAAGGCUGAGUCCAACAAAACAUGGCCGUAGGGAGGCCACGACAGCUGUGGUUGUCACCGACGGAUGAAUAGCUUUUGCCAACCGUGGAAUUUAGUAACUAAAGGCACCUAACCCUUUUAUCUCAUCCUCAUUUUUCAACAAAUGGUGCUUCCUGGCUAAUAUCAGCGUGUCCCAUAGAUUUCUGCUUCCAUUGAAUAGACCUAAUAAGAAAGAGAAUGAAGUCAAAGCCAACAGGGCAGAAAGAAAUUGAAAACCUGAAGAACCCAGCACUCAAACUGUCUCCACUUGCGUUUGCUUUUUCUUUACCUCUUCUCCUUCUGGUUUUCAACAGCCAAAGCAGGAUUUAAAUUUGGUUAUGUUGCAAAAAUCAUUUCCCUCUUCAGGCCCUGUCAUGUGACUUGAUUUUUUCGUCCAUUUUAGAGAAGCUGUACCCACCCUGGUUUCAGGACACGGAACUAAAUUUAUUAGAAAAGAAGCCACUUCAAGUCAUGAAGGAGAAACACAAAGAUUCUUGGAUUUAGUUCUAAGAACUAGAGGGGAUUUCUAUGUCAGUACUGUCUCAGAAAAAACUGUUGAUAUCAAAUGUGUUGCUUGAGAAGUACCUUUUUUUUUUUGAGACGGAGUCUCGCUCUGUCCGCCCAGGCUAGAGUGCAGUGGCGCGAUCUCGGCUCACUGCAAGCUCCGCCUCCCGGGUUCACGCCGUUCUCCUGCCUCAGCCUCCCGAGUAGCUGGGAUUACAGGUGCCCACCACCACGCCCGGCUAAUUUUUGUAUUUUUAGUAGAGACAGGGUUUCACCGUGUUAGCCAGGAUGGUCUCGAUCUCCUGACCUCGUGAUCCACCCGCCUCGGCCUCCCAAAGUGCUGGGAUAACAGGCGUGAGCCAUCGCGCCCGGCCGAGAGGUACCUUUUAUGACAACUGAAAUCAUUCAGUUUCAAGAGGAGUUGGGUACUGAAACCAAACUUGCUUACUCCAAAGCCCAAAAUCCUUUCCACCAUGCCUGUGUGUCUGUAAGGCUACACUAGAAAUGCUUCCUUUCUUAUAGUGGGAAGCAUGGGUACUAAGCUCUUUUACGAACAAGUGUUCUGCAUAUUCCUGGUUCCUUUUUAUUUUGGACUGAGGAGAUUUAGGUCAAAAUUUCUGGGUUCUGGGUUGGAAUUCCAGCUUCUUUCUUCAAAUUAAACUGGGGGGUAGCAAGACUUAUUCCUAGAUUUGUUAGAAGGCCACAGCUUUUCCACAUCUCAUUUUAGUCAUGAAAAAGACACAUGCCCAGAGUUUGAAAAACAUAAAGGCAAUUUGACUAGUGGCUUGAUUGGUUCUAUCUUCUUUUUCUUGUCCCUCUUUCCUAUUUAUACUUCUACUUUUGUUACAGCAUUUGACAAUAGUUGGAAAAAUUUUCACUGACCUUGAAAUGUCUUUGGGAUAGGGUGACUUAAAAUAUAGGUUAAGUGGCAUACACAAACUUCUUAGUGAGAUCCUAAGGGCCUACAGAGACAGGCUGACACCAACUCAACCCUUGAAACUGUGCAAUGAAGAGCCUGUGGGAGGCUAAAAAACGCUACUUCAAAAAGAGAUCCUUGUCUGUGAAUGUUAAUUUAGGUUUACAGAUUUGAUUAAGGGUCUUGAGAUUAUUUUCAAUUAUCCAGGUGGGCCCUAGAGCCCUAGAUGCAAUCAUAAGUGUCCUUAUAACAGGGAGGCAGAGGAAAAUUAAACACGCACACAGGAGAGAGAGAGAGAGAAAAAAAAGUGAUGUGAAGACAGCAGCAGAGAUUGGAGCGAUGUGGCCAUAGCCAAGCUAUGUCAGCAGCCAUCAGAAGUUGGAAGAGGCAAGGAAGGAUUUGAGCCUAGAGCCUUUGGAAGGAGCAUGGCCCUGUUGGUUCUGGCCUCCAGAACUGCAAGAAAAUACAUUUUUGUUGUUUUAAACCACCCAGUUCAUGGUAAUUUGUAACACCAGCUACAAGAAAUUAACACAAGGCUGAUGUGACUUUCCAUCAGGAGAGAGACAGCCCCAGGUGAGACCUGCCUGCCUCAUUGUCUGACAGCUUUCCCAGCCUCCUCCAGGCUCCCCUCCGUUUUCUCUUAUACGCAUUCCCCCAAUAAACUUCCUGUACAUUUAAUACCAUCUCAGUGUCUGCUCCCAGGAGGACCCUAACUGACACACUGGGGCAUUUAGCCUCCAAUUCCUUUUCUCCCUUGGCUGAGAUCUGUUCCAGGAAGUAUCUCCAGGACACUCCAGCCUGUUGCACAGGCCAAAGAAAAGCCCUCAGGCAGAGGAGCAAAUACUUGCAAGAGGACACCAGUGGCAAGAACAGGGACAUGCCACCCUGUGAAGACGUGCCUUUCGUCAAGAUUGUAAGUUUCCUGAGGCCUUCCCACCCAUGCGGAACUGAAAAAAUCUUCCUGUGACUUCCUACAACUUUUGGGAUAAGGACCAAAGUAUUUCAAAUGACCUACAAGAUCCUCUAUCAUCUGGACUAUGGACUUACUUGCUCACUCCAGCUGUCCUAUGCUUUCUUCAGCGCCUCCAGUGUAGCCUGCUCUCUUUCACCUCAGGGCUAACUUCUAUUUUUUCUCCAGGUCGAAUGAUCUAAAUAUCACUUCCUCAGGGUGGAAGGAAAUCUUCUGGGACUAGCUAGUCAAGCUAUGAUAAGAGAAACAAGAACUGGAUUUAACCUUUGGUUGCAAACAACUAAAAACUGGACGGCUGGAGAUAUCAUGCUACCAGACUUCAAACUAUAAGGCCACAGUAACCAAAACAGCAUGGUACUGAUACAAAAACAGACACAUAGACCAAUGGAACAGAAUAGAGAACUCAGCAAUAAGACCGCACACCUACAACCAUCUGAUCUCCGACAAACCUGACACGAACAAGCAAUGGGGAAAAGAUUCCCUGUUUAAUAAAUGGUGUUGGGAGAAUUGGCUAGCCAUAUACAGAAAAUUGAAACUGGGCUCCUUCCUUACACCAUAUACAAAAGUUAAGUCAAGAUGGAUUAAAGACUUAAAUGUAAACCCCAAAACUAUAAAAAUCCUAGAAGAAAAUCUAGGCAAUACCAUUCAAGACAUCGGCAUGGGCAAAGAUUUCACGACAAAAACACCAAAAGCAACUGCAACAAAAGCAAAAAUUGACAAAUGGUAUCUAAUUCAACUAAAGAGCUUCUACGCAGCAAAAGAAACUAUUAUCAGAGUGAACAGACAACCUACAGAAUGGGAGAAAAUUCUUGCAAUCUAUCCAUCUGACAAAGGUCUAAUAUCCAGAGUCUACAGGAAACUUUAUAGGAAAAAAACAACCCCAUUAAAAGUGGGCAAAGGACAUGAACAGAUACUUCUCAAAAGAAGACAUUCAUGUAGCCAACAAACAUGAAAAAAAGCUCAACAUCACCGAUGAUUGGAGAAAUGCAAAUCUAAACCACAAUGAGAUACCAUCCCAUGCCAAUCAGAAUGGGAAUUAUUUAAAAGUCCAGAAACAAAAGAUGCUGGUAAGGUUUCAGAGAAAAAGGAACACUUUUACACUAUUGGUGGGAGUGUAAGGAAGACAGUGUGCCAAUUCCUCACAGAUCUAGAAGCAGAAAUGCCAUUUGACCCAGCAAUCCCAUUACUGGGUAUAUACCUACAGAAAUAUAAAUCAUUCUAUUAUAAAGCUACAUGC